rnacentral:rRNA from 1 species
AGGACGACGCUGGCGGCGUUGCUUAAUACAUGCAAGUCGAGCGAGGCCUUGGAAUUGGAGUCCUUCGGGAUGAAGAGUCCUUGGCCUAGCGGCGGACGGGUGAGUAACGCGUGGGCAACCUACCCCAAAGUCCGGGAUAACAGUGGGAAACCGCUGCUAAUACCGGAUGGCUUUACCUGAGGGCAUCCUCGGGUAAAGAAAGGUUACGCUUUGGGAUGGGCCCGCGUCCCAUUAGCUAGUUGGUGAGGUAACGGCUCACCAAGGCGACGAUGGGUAGCCGGCCUGAGAGGGUGAACGGCCACACUGGGACUGAGACACGGCCCAGACUCCUACGGGAGGCAGCAGUAGGGAAUAUUGCGCAAUGGGCGGAAGCCUGACGCAGCGACGCCGCGUGAGCGAAGAAGGCCUUCGGGUCGUAAAGCUCUGUCCUUGGGGAAGAAGGCGAAAGCUUGACGGUACCCAAGAAGAAAGCCCCGGCUAACUACGUG